GAUGAACGCUGGCGGCGUGCUUAACACAUGCAAGUCGAACGAUGAGGCCCAGCUUGUUUGGUGGGUUAGUGGGGAACGGGUGAGUGACACGCGAGUGUCAUGCCCUCAUGUCUGUGGUAUGACUGGAGGACACGGUGUAUUACAGCGUAUGGGAGUUCCUGCCGCGGGGUGUGUUGGAGAGAUUUACGGCGGUUGGGGAUGGACUCGCGGCAUAUCAGCUUGUUGGUGGGGUUGUGGCUCACCAAGGCGACGACGGGUAGCCGGCCUGAGAGGGUGACCGGCCACACUGGGACUGAGACACGGCCCAGACUCCUACGGGAGGCAGCAGUGGGGAAUAUUGCACAAUGGGCGCAAGCCUGAUGCAGCGACGCCGCGUGAGGGAUGACGGCCUUCGGGUUGUAAACCGCUUUCAGUAGGGAAGAAGCGAAAGUGACGGUACCUGCAGAAGAAGCACCGGCUAACUACGUG
rnacentral:rRNA from 1 species